GGGUCGAUAGCCUAAGAAGGGCAACGGGCUUUUGACUCGUGGGUGAAGUAGAAGAAGCUUCUCGUCCCA
rnacentral:tRNA from 1 species